UACGGAGGGUGCGAGCGUUGUCCGGAAUCAUUGGGCGUAAAGGGCGCGUAGGUGGCCCGGUCAGUUUGUGGUGAAAGCGCGGGGCUCAACCCUGCGUCGGCCAUGAAUACUGCCGCGGCUGGAGCACUGUAGAGGCAGGCGGAAUUCCGGGUGUAGCGGUGGAAUGCGUAGAGAUCCGGAAGAACACCGGUGGCGAAGGCGGCCUGCUGGGCAGUUGCUGACACUGAGGCGCGACAGCGUGGGGAGCAAACAGG
rnacentral:rRNA from 1 species